rnacentral:lncRNA from 1 species
UAAGGCGCAUGCGCGACCUUAUAAGGGCCCCUGCACCUGUCGAUGAGGUUUCUGUGUCUCAUAGUCACACUAACCCUCAAUGACAGGAACUCAUCCACCCCUGCUCAGGCAGUCGUGGCUUUGGAAAUUAUUCCAGAUGAGAGUAUCCUUUGUGGAACCACUCCACCUGCUGUGUCUGGGACUCGCGUGGGUUGCAUUACAAAUCUGUGCCCGGCUGAGAGGACUGUUGGUCCUUCUGAGGUUGUGGUCCCUGGUCCCGAGUUUCCAAUGGAUGGAGCGGGGGGCGGCAGCAGCUCACCCGGCAGAGCCAGUUCAAGCCAGAGAUUCCAGAGGCAGCUCCCUCGGAGGGGACUCUCUUCUUGGUGCUUGCGACCGGGGGCCUGGCGUUCUGGCCUCAUCUGAAAUCCAGGGCCCGCUCUACUUUUACUCAAGAGGAUUUAUUUUGGGGAGGCUGCAGUCCUCAGAUUCCCCGGAAACAUGCACCGGGAACAGGUAAGAGCUCGAUUUCAUUGGCUGAAAGAUAAGUACUUAGAAACAUCCGGCAUUCUGAAAGUCAGAAAGGUAAAAACCAACCCAAAUGUCUUUCAGGUUCACGUGAUCUGGGAUAAUCUUUGGUAAAUUAAAACAGACAUGUCUUUUGGAGUUUCC